AUUGAACGCUAGCGGGAUGCCUUACACAUGCAAGUCGAACGGCAGCGCGGACUUCGGUCUGGCGGCGAGUGGCGAACGGGUGAGUAAUGUAUCGGAACGUGCCCAGUAGCGGGGGAUAACUACUCGAAAGAGUAGCUAAUACCGCAUACGCCCUACGGGGGAAAGGGGGGGAUCGCAAGACCUCUCACUAUUGGAGCGGCCGAGAUCGGAUUAGCUAGUUGGUGAGGUAAAGGCUCACCAAGGCGACGAUCCGUAGCUGGUUUGAGAGGACGACCAGCCACACUGGGACUGAGACACGGCCCAGACUCCUACGGGAGGCAGCAGUGGGGAAUUUUGGACAAUGGGGGCAACCCUGAUCCAGCCAUUCCGCGUGUGCGAUGAAGGCCUUCGGGUUGUAAAGCACUUUUGGCAGGAAAGAAAUCGCACGGAUUAAUACUCUGUGUGGAUGACGGUACCUGCAGAAUAAGCACCGGCUAACUACGUGCCAGCCGCCGCGGUAA
rnacentral:rRNA from 1 species